UAAGUGUGAUAUACGAGAAGGUGAUAGCGACGGAUGCUAGUGCCAAGCAACUUGAAUUUGCAGUGAAGAUUUGUAACGUGAGAUACCAACACACUCCUCCAAUCAUGUCAAUGGCUGAACUUGAAGAAAUGGUGGCAUCUGAGGGAAGCGUAGACCUUGUAACCAUGGCCCAAUCCCUGCACUGGUUUGACAUGCCAACCUUGUACCGACAAGUGAAAUGGGUGCUGAAGAAGCCUCAUGGAGUGAUUGCUGCAUGGUGCUACUAUUUGCCAAGAGUUUGUGAUGAAGUAGACACAGUCCUUGAUGAAUUCUAUUCCAGUGAGGUAGGCCCUUAUUGGAACCCUGCAGGAAAAUUGAUUCAUAAGCUUUAUAGAAGAAUUGAUUUUCCAUUUGAACCUGUGGAGGGUGCUGAUCACACAGGACCCUUUGAGUUUGUGACAGAGACUUUGAUGAAUUUGGAUGAUUUAUUUACUUACAUAAAAUCAUGGUCAGCAUAUCAGACGGCUAAGGGGAAGGGAGUGGAGCUUCUUGGGGAGGAUGUAGUUCAAAAAUUCAAGUUUUCUUGGGGAGAAGAUGGUAAACGAGUUGUGAGGUUUCCAAUUGAUUUGAGAAUGGGAAAAGUUGGCAGAGAAAUAUUUUGAUUUAAUUACUUUAUUCGUUUUUAUAUUUGUGGUUAAUAUCUUAUUCCUUCUUAUAUUUUUGGUUAAUAUUCAAUUUAGUACCGUGGUUUUCUAAAAAAAUCAAUUUGAUCAUUUUGUUUUUUAAAAUAUAUUUAACUUGAUUUUUUUCGUUAAGUCCCACCUUAGGUGUCAAGUGUUACUUAUGUGGCAGAAAGAGUGUUUAUGUGACAUAAAGAAAUGUGUAUGUGAAGAAAGAAAUGAGAUUGAGAGUUAUUAUUAUUAUUAUUAUUAUUAUUAUUAUUAUUAUUAUUAUUAUUAUUAUUAUUAUUAUUGUUGUUGUUGUUGUUGUUGUUGUUGUUGUUAUUUUUGUUAUUAUUAUUGUUAUUAUUAUUAUUAUUAAUAAUAAUAACUCUCAAUCUCACCUCUCUCUCCCCACAUAAACAUCUCUCUCGGUCCCAUAAACACACUCUCUCCGCCACAUUAACACAUUUCUGCCAUAUAAGUAACAUAUGACGUUGUACGUUGGAACUUAACGGAAAUGACCAAUUUGGAUACGUUUUAAAAAACAUAGGACCCAAAUUGAUUUUUUAAAAAUCACUGUACUAAAUUGAAUAUUGACCCCAAAUAUAAGGACAAAUAAGAUAAUUAAAUCAAAUAUUUUAUAUGUAAGAAGGCUAGAAAGCAUAUCUUAGAUCAAUUAAAUAUAUCUACAAUCAUCUUAUAUGUUUUAAGAACUCUUCACACUCAAAGGGCCUACUUAUAGUUUCAUGUGGUCAAAUUCUUAAUAAAUCAAUUAAUAUUUCAUUUUUGGGUUGAUUAAAGAUUUUAUUUAUUUAAUUUUAAUCGUGUGAAACAAAUUAAGUAAUACCCUUUCAUAAAUAUCAGGAUUUAAAGUAAUAAUUGAGAUAUAUGUAAAUAAAUUUUUUGAAUAUUUCAAAGAAUAAUCACUUUGAGGUUUUAAUUGAUUAUUGAGAUAUAUGUAAGAAUUAUAUUAGAUUAAAAAUAAAAUUAAAAAAUUGUAAUUAUAAUUUUAACAUGCAUUUAUUUAUUUUGAUUGUUGUAGGGUGAUAGGCCUGGACCCAACUAAAUAAUGAGUGAAUCGGUUUUCGAAUCACAAGGCAAUAUGAUGUUACUUUGGCAUAUGUUAGGGAUUUCAGAAUUGACUUGUACUGACCAGUGCUCAGUUCUCGGUAGUAUUUUCGUAUGCUCGGUUCUUUUUGCGUCGCGAGAGGCCUGCUCGGUAACUGGGCCUAAGUAAACCUGUACCGAUGACCUUGGUCAGGUUGGGCCCAGAGCGACCCAGGGCGCAUGAUGGGUACGCAAAGUAAUUUCAUUGAUGAACCCGUUUAAAACAUAUAUUUGUGUGGUAGAUAUUGUUGAAUCAAGUGUGUUCAAGCUUUGAAGAAUCCAAAUCCUUUGAAGUUUGAUGGAAGGCUGGAUGUGCUUGUUGUUGAUAAGGUGUUUUAGAAUAGGAUCUGGGGUAGAUUAUCUGUGUAAAUCCACUCUUGAUUGAAUCCAAAGCUUAGGCAUUCUUAAACCUUUUAAUUGAAAGUGUUUUUCAAACUAAGUGAAAAACAACCUGUUGUUUUGUCGAAUCAAUCGAUUGUUUUAUACUUAGGUGUUUUGAGAAAGGUUGAAAACUGUUUUUGAUGGUUGACUUGCUGUCAAACCAAAACAACCGAUUGAUUCGAGCAUUCAACCGAUUGUUUGUUUUGGGACCAUAACAGAAAACUGUUUUGUGCUUUGACUAAGCUUUAAAUGAUUUUAUAACUGAAUACGCUCCAGUUUUAAAUGCUUUGACCAGUCUUUGAAAGCAAUAAAUAGUUUGUUCAGAUUAUGUAACAAACAAGAUCUGAGAUUUAAUCAAAGAAAAACAAAUUUGAGUUUUUCACUGAUUUUGCUUUUGAAGAGUUGAAGAUUACUUUGAGAUUGCUUUGAUCAAGAGAGUGUGGAAUAGGAUUUUCAACUUGUAUUGAUUUCAGAUCUUUCUGUAACAAGUGUAAUCCUUUUGUACUUUGUGAAAACUCUGUGUGUGAAGCUGAGAAGUGUUGUGUGCUCUUGAGGUUGUCAAGAUCAGCAUUCUUGGUGGUGUUUAUGCUGAGCCAAAGGAAGUGUGUGUCUUGAGGGGAUCAAGGUCACUUCUUUGGUGGUGUUGUAAGUAAUCUAGGUUUGGUUACUUAGUGGAUUCCCCAGUGGUUUCUGGGAAGACUGGAUGUAGCUCUUGGUUUAAGAGUGAACCAGUAUAAACCUGUGUGUGCAAUCUCUCUAUCCCUUGAACUCUUUAAUUUCAGUUUAUAUUUGUGAACUGGUAUAAACAACCGAUUGUUUCUACGAAACAACCGAUUGUUUUUCUGGUGCUGUGCUAAAUUGCUUUGUGUUUUUGACAAACUGAAUUAUGAAUCAAGUUUUCUUAAAGGAAUUUCAUUCUAGACUAAAAAGUUUGUGAAAACCCUCUUUAAACCAUUCACCCCCCCUCUAGUUUAAAGUCAUGCAUUCUAACAGAUAUAACCUUGUUACUAUUGUUAGUAUGUGGAAUAUUUUCUCUGUUACGUAUCUAUUGCAUGUUUCUGUUGCAUAUUUGUUACACGUGGCACAUUGUUAUUAACCCUAAGUAGAUAGGGAGAUGCAUUGAUAACAAAAUAUUGGCCUACUAUUUUGCACCUGAAGAUCAUUGGUACCCGUGACAGGUGGUUUUUCUGUUACUUUAACGUGCUGGAAUAUUUUCAGUUAAGAUUUACUUAUCUCCAGGAGAAUGGUUCCAUGUGGCAUAUACAUCGAUAAAAGGAGAGUAAGUCUCUAGGAAAAGGUACGCUGUUUUUGCACAUUGAACUAAAUUGUUACUUUUGGUGAGCCCUAGCUAACUUGAUCGUCGGAGUGUAAUCAAUAGGUAGGGCGCCCUCUGUCUCAACGGAGCCCUAUUUUUGCGCAACAAGGAGACGUGAUUCUAAUUCCAGAAGAGGCCAAUCUAAUCAACCAGCGACGCAAUCAACCGGCAAGAACAUUUGGUGCCUACCGUGGGGCCCGCUAAAACCUGAUCCUAUCCACACUUUGUUCAAGCUUGUAAACGAAGAUGAGGAACGCAAGGCAAGUACCAGUGGUACAAGAAGGUACAGGCGAGGCUGCCACAUUGCAACAACUUAUGGAGACCAUCACGGCACUCUAAGAAGAGCUACGCAAAACCAAUAAGGAUUUGCGACGAGACCGAUGUAUUCCGGGACAACGAGAGGCGAACCCGCCUGAGAGAGACUGUCCCGAACCUUUCUCGCAGGCUAUCAUGGACGAGCUAGUGUCCGCGCACUAUGUGGCACCCAAGAUUACCUUGACGGGGGUGGAAGACCCCGAAAGUCACCUCACUGCGUUCAAUGCUCAGAUGAUAAUCUCGGGUGGCUCAGACGUAGUGCGAUGCAAGAUGUUCAUGGGUACCUUCACAGGCACGACCAUACAGUGGUUCAACGACUGCCAGAUGGACAUAUUUCCUAUUUUGCCCAGUUCGCCAAGCUAUUCCGAGAACAGUUUCAUGCAAACCGGGUCAAACCCCCGGUGUUGUAUGAUGUCUUCAAUGUGCGACAAAGGGAAGGGGAGACGUGAAAGAUUACCUGAAUCAGUUCUGGGAUCUCAUUGUAACACUUCGGACCCGCGACGAAAAUGUCAUGGUGUCUGCUUUCGAGCAAGGGGUCGCUUCGGGGUCGUUUUGUGACUCCCUUAUAAGGAACCCAGCCGAAACCUUUUCUGAAAUUGGGCGAAGAGGAGUCACUCACAUCAAUACUGAAGAAGCGUGUUAGCUAGGAAUAAUGGUUCGCAUUCUCGGUUGGCUAAACCGAGAGAGCCAAGAAAGGCUCCUCGGCCUAUGAGGGUUAACGAAACCUCAGCCGAGAAGAAGGCAAAAGCAAGAAAAUACCCUUAUCGGAAAGGAAAGUCCAAAGAAAGAGACAAAGAGGAAGAGAUCCGCCCCAAAUUCCGCAUAUCGUACAAGGAAUUGAUAGCUAUACCCGCAGUAGCCGAGAAGUUGAAGUUUCCCCAAAAGGCUGAUAGGAAUUUGGGAGGAAGGAAAGACAUCUGGUGUGAGUUUCACAAAGAAUUCGGGCAUGGUACCAAACGGUGCAUGGCCUUAGGCUACCAAUUGGCCAAGCUUUUGAAGGAAGGUCUCUUGAAAAAUUAACUCGAAGUCAACGAUAGAGAACGACAGGGGAAGCGAUUCUGAGGGAGCCACCGCGUGAGAUACCCAUACAUGUUGAGCUAAAAACGAUCUCGGAUGGGUUCUCGGGUGGAGGAAGCACGGCAGCCAAGCGUGAUACUGCAUCCCACCACCACAAUAAACACUUUUUUUUUCACUCGUCGACAAAAUAUAAAACAAUACUUUCAUUUUUAUCUUUCUUAAGAACGGUUUUGGUAUUUUUAAAUUUAUGGAGGUGCCCCAAAAAAUCCUCGAGGUGCAGGAAAAAGCUGUCCAUACAAAUUGGGGGCCUUCAUGUACUAUCGCACGUGAAUUGUAAAAAGAUUGGAGCGGCUAAAUGCAUCAAACAUUAUGACAUUCAUUGUAUAUCUGAAUUAUAUACUUUUAAAUAUAUAUAUAUAUAUAUAUAUAUAUUUUGGAUUGAAUAAUUUGAAAGGUAUUUUUAUUUUAUUAAAAAAAUACAUUUCUAAAUCAUAAAAUAUAGAAUUUAUUUUUUAAGGAGAAAAUGAUUUUUUGCUUAGAGAAAUUAUGGAGGUUGAUGAAACAGCCUAGAAAUGCAUGCAUGCUAAAAGUGAAUGCAAAUGAUACAUGAAUGUGUAAGAGUGGAGGAGGAUUUUUAAGAAGAAAAGAGAGAAAAACAGGUAACAAAGAAAGCAUAAAAGGGCGUCCCCACACACAUAUAUAUUUUCCUUAAAUACCCUCUUUGCAACUUCCACCGUGAUUCCAAUGUCAUUAAUGUAUUUUUAUCGACUCACAGUGUGUUAGAACAGUAUGAACUCACAGUGUUAGAAGAGUAUGAAAAUCAAGUAAUUAUAACAAAGCUGAAGAUAAUGAUGAUGACACAUAACAUCUGUCACCUCCUUACACGAGCUAAACCACCUUUAACCCAAUCAAUGACUCAUGAUUUUGGAUUAAACGUCUGUUUCAUGGUUUGAACAAAAUUCCACUUUGACCCAACGAAUACAAACAUACACACAUGGUGAUUCCCAAAGUUAAAAUUAGGUCAUUUAAUAAGAUUGGACUCAGAAAAAAAACAUUAGAUCAUAUCGAAUUCCUAUUUUCAAUAAAAAAAAGCAUCAAUCUAUUGAAUACUUUUUUAUAUCAGCAAAGAAUUAAUUUAAUUAAAACUGGGACACUUUAGGGGUGUCCCAACCCGUAUACAAAAAGUGCUUAUAGCAACAAACAUAUAUAACUUAUAGUUAAAGCUACAAAUGGCUUCUACCGUCCUAGACCAUUUGCUGCCCAAAAUACUUUACACUUCGGCAUAAUGGGGAAGCACAAUCCCCCUCUUCCAUUCCUUCCAAUACUAGAUUACCCAUAAGCAUGGCCUAUUUAAGAUAUCACCAAAACCGGGGAUCACAAAUUGCACACAUUUUCAUUCCUUCGUAUCCAGAACCUUCCCCAUAAAACCUGUUUUCCAUCCACAGCGAGUGCAUCCGUUAUCUUUCCCUGUUGUGAUAUAUAACCGUGUAUGAGUGUGGCGCACCUAUUAACCUUUCUCCAUUCCAUUCCUUAUCUGCACUAUACCGAGCCGAACCUACACCUAGGAGCUCCUCGAUUCCAGCUUGCACCGAACUCAGACUUUGCAGUGCCAUCAUCGAAACUGGCCAAGGCCAUUUCACCAUAGCACCUAUAAUCCACAACUCCAAACUUCAUAGUCCCUGCUAACAACUAAUGCAACCAUCUGCUGCACCUCCUCAUUACUUUCUCAGCCGUUUUGGUUUAUGGUCCAUGCCUUAUGGUAUUUUACAGCUUUCCAUACUUUCAAUGUUCUUUGGACCGUGCCUUCCUGCUUCCCUUUGAUGUGUUUAGACCCAUGUCCAUCACUAGCUAGUAAAAACUCCCCUCUGCCCCAAGGUAGCCUUGUCUUCCUAACCGCCUCACACCAGCUGUUCUUCACCUUCAUUUCUGCAGUUCCUUACCACUCCAGUACUGGUCCAAAAUGUCAAUCAACACCAUAGCCGCUCUUCUAGUUCUGCUUCCUAUUGCUACCUGCAUAUUGGAGCUCCCCUAUUUACGUCCCAGAACAUUCAGAGCCAACCUACCCCCCUUGACCCCUUUGCUGGACAUGAAAAACUAUUUAACACUCUUUAUACAGCUACCCGGGUUAAUUAUCCAAUCUGAGAAGGAGUAAUUAAAGGAGUUGGUUCUGUGUUUUAGCCAGGACCAGGAUUUUAGCUGCGCCAGCUGGAUCAUCUCCUCUGCAUCCACAACACCUUGUUUGUACAGGAUGGAGUUUCUCUGGUCCCAGAUACCUCUUAUAAUCACUGCCCAGAUACCUUUCCACACUAAGAUCUGUUUUCCACUGGCCUGAGUACAAAGAAAACUCUCAAAAUGGGAUUGAAUCUCGUUAUUUUGUACUAACACAAUUCCCAACCACUUUUGGCACAGGGACCAAACAUGCUGCGCAACCUCACAUUCAAUGAAUAGAUGCUCUGCUGAUUCCUCCAUAUUCCUACACAGAACACAGACUGUGGAUUCCAUCUGCACACCUCUUCUCACUAGGGCCUCUCGUGUUGGAAUUCUGUCUAUGAGUACUCUCCACGCUGUUACUAGCACAUUAGGGAAUGCUGUGGCUUUCCAGAGGAGCUCAAAAAUCACGUGUUGUGACCCUCUUAGAUGUUUGCCUAAGCAAAGGUAGGCUGAGCUCACCGUGUACCUCUCUAGCUCCUCCUCCCCCCACACUAGGAUGUCAUUUACAUGUCUCUUCACUUCAGAUCCUGAAAUUCUUUCUCUAAGAUUUCUCUCCAUCUCAGAUUCCCACUCAAAUCUCUCCCUCCUCCAUUGUAGCCUCCAAUGCCAUUCGGAUCCCUCCCACUCUCCAGCUUCCUCUAGUUUUUCCUCCUGAUUCGCCACUAAGGAAUACAAUCUUGGGAAAUCAGUUUUAAGACUUGUAUUACCAUUCCACACAUCCUCCCAAAACCUAAUCUUAUCCCCCUUUCCUAAUUUCCAUCGUAGCUCUUCUUUGAACCAACCUUCGCCUUCUCCCUCUAUACAUAUCUUCUUUAAAUCUCUCCACCACCAUGACUGAUAUUUUACUGGAAUCUGUGUCUCCUGUGGCUGCAAACCAUAUUUUGAAGUAAACACCUCCUUCCACUUCCCUGGCUCUUGUGAGAUAAGCCGCCAUUUCCAUUUUGCUACAAGGGCAAAAUUCAGCUUUCUAAUAUCCUUGAUUCCCAGUCCUCCAUCUUCCUUCUGCUUGCACACCUCUCCCCAACUUACCCAUGAAAUCGGCCUGGUCUCUUUUCCCCAUCCCCAGAGAAAUUUUCUCUGAAUACUAAUAAUGCUUUUGUAGACCGAUUCUGGGGCUUUGAAUACGGACAGAUAAAAGAGGGGUAUUGCAGUGAGCACGGACUUAAUUACGCAGAUCCUUCCUGCCAAGGACAUAAACCUCCCCUUCCACAUACUUAAUCUGGCCUUCAGCUUUUCCACUACAGGUUUCCAAAACGUUUCUUUCCUUGGGUUUCCUCCUACUUCUAUUCCCAAGUACUUAAACGGGUAACCCAUCUGACCACAAUUUAAGAGUUUUGAGUAGCAUCGAAGACUCGAGUUGUCAACAUUAAAGCCUACCAGACUUGAUUUGUGGAAGUUAAUUUUCAGCCCAGACGCUAUUUCAAAACCCCUUAAAAUUGCCUUCAUACUUACCACAUUACUCCAUGAGUCCUCGCAGAAAAAAAGGGUGUCAUCCGCAUACUGCAGAAAGCUCACAACUACCUCCUUACUUCCAAUCUUUAUCCCCGCCAAAAGGUUGGUUUUUAACGCCUGCCUGACUAGCCCAGCAAGACCUUCAGCCACAACUGUGAAGAGGAACGGUGCUAAGGGAUCUCCCUGUCUCAAGCCUCUUGUCGGUCUGAAUUCUUCAGUUGGACUCCCGUUGACUAGGACAGACACUGUGGCUGACUCCAUACAUCCUCUAAUCCACUGAAUCCAGGUCUUGUGAAAACCCAUCCUAUGAAGCAUAUCAUACAUGUACUCCCACCUUACCGAGUCAUACGCUUUUUCAAAAUCAACUUUCAAGCACAACCCGCUUCUCCCCUUCCUUCUAAGAUCCUCAAUCACCUCGUUUGCCAGUAUCACACUAUCUGUGAGACCCCUAUCCUUAAUAAAAGCAGAUUGGCUCUCAUCUAUUAAAUUCGGUAGCACUUUCUUUAACCUUCCUGCUAAUACCUUAGCAAUGACUUUAUAAAUAGCGCCCACUAAGGAUAUGGGUCUGAACUGAUCGAGCUUGCAAGGAUCCUUAACUUUUGGAACUAAUGCUAUGAACGAAGCAUUGCACCCCUUGGGAAUACAUCCUGUUUUAUAGAAUUCCGCUACUGCAGCUACAAAAUCAGCCUUUAAGUACUUCCAACUUUUCUUGAUAAAGUUAAAAUUGAAACCAUCCGGACCUGGACUUUUUGAGCCUUCACAUUGCCACACCGCAUCCUUAAUUUCUUCCUCAGAGAAGGUCUCUAUCAUUCGCAAGCUGUCUUCUUUAGCAAGGGUUUUAAAAUCUACCUCAUCAAGUCUCACCCCAAAAUCCUUCGUUGCUUUAAAUCUAUUUUCAAAGAUCCUUUUAGCUUCUCUUCGAACAGUACUAGGCUCCUCGCACCAUAGGCCUCCUACCUCUACCCCUUUGACUUCAUUUCUUAGUCUUCUCCACCUAAGAUUUGAGUGGAAAAACCUAGAGCAAGAGUCACCAAAUUUGAACCAGCUUGUCCUAGCCUUUUGACGGAUAAGAGAGUCUAGCUUGUUAUCCGUCUCCCAAAGCCUUCUAACCAGAUCUGUUCUAGCUUGUUUCUGACUUUCCCCCAAUUGGCCGUUACAAUCUUGACCGUCAAGUGUCUCCAUUUCCUGCAUUAUAGAGCUCUUGAUCAAGUCCAAGUUUCCAAACACGUCCCUAUUCCAGACUUUCAGAUCCAUCUUCAGAAGUUUAAGCUUUUCCUUGAGCCCUUUAACUGCACCUCCUUCGGUUGAAUAUGACUUCCACUUUUCCUCCACCAUUUCAGCAAAGCCUUUUUCCGAAAGCCAUGCAUCUAACGACCUAAAGGGCUUGGGACCCCAGUCCUUGUCCAGGCAUUUAAUCAGCAAAGCACAAUGGUCUGAGACCUCCCUUCUUUGAACAUACUGCUUGCAGGUAGGCCAACACUGUAGCCACUCCUCUGUUACAAGAGCUCUAUCAAUCCUACUCUUUGCUGUUCCAUUUGCUUUGAACCACGUGAACUUUUUCCAAACAAUGGGCAAAUCCAUCAGUAGAUUUGUCUCUAGAAACCCAUUAAACUCCUUCAUCUCUUUUAUAAAGUCUCCCCUAUCCAUCCCUUGUCUUUCUGCUCGUCUUCUUAUUGCAUUAAAAUCCCCGCAGACGCACCACAUCCCAAUCUGUGAAUUUGCUUUACACUUGGUCAAUUCCUCCCAGAGAGCUUUCUUCUCUUUUAAAGUGCAUGCUGCGUAGACAUUAACCACACAGCACCUCCGAGAUGAUUUCCCAUGCAGACCCAUGACAGCUAUGUACCCUUUCCCCAUUGAAUGACUUUCAUACUGAAACACAUCUUUAUGCCACAAGGAGAGAAGACUUCCUCUACCACUCUCCCCUCCAUUAUGGAUCCAACCAAUAUUGUUAUCCCCCCAAAUAGAAAAGCACCUAGCAUCCGUUAUAUCUGUAGUUUUUGUUUCCUGUAAGCACAUGAAUUCCACUCCCUCCUUCGAAAUACACCUUCUCAGAUAACGUACUUUUGUUCCUCCCCCCAUACCUCUAAUAUUCAGGUUAAAAAUCAGCAUCUAAAUCUCUUUGUCUACCCCACUCUGCAUUAUUCUUCUCUUCCUGAUCUCUAUCUUCCAUUGUGUUAAAUUCUUGAACCACCUCAUCUUCCUCUCCCCUGCAGGCUAACCCAAACUGUUUUCCAACUUCCCAAAGGUUAUCUGACUCCUCCCUACUUCCUAGACUCAAGACUCUAGCAUUACAUAACAAUAUGUCCCCAUCAGAAAUUGAUGCUGAGAACGUACCUUCUCUGUUCACCAAGUCAUUCUUCUUCUGGAAGAGUUUCUCGCUCAAUCGAGCAGAACGCCUAGGAAAGGUAUUUGCGUCCCCCAGCUCUCGAAGUGCUUUUUGUUUUCGUGGUUGGGUUUUGGUUGUAGUACCUGUUUCUGCCACCUCUUCUUCCGACAAACCAUGCUCCGUCAUCCCUUCUUGAUUUAUCCCAGCAGCACAAUGCCCCUCCUGAUUGUGAUUUGGUUCAAGAUGGCGGCUCUCACUUCCACUUCCCGCUUCCACUCGACAUAAUGUUUCAGGAUUUCCCUCAUGACGUUGUUCUUCAUCUCCCUUUGACUUAAUCGCCCUUCCAGGUGUUUGUUCUGCUUCCUUCUGUGUAAGGUUCAAUCUUUCCUCACUCCCUAUUCCCGUAUGGGCCUUUCUCUCAACAUUUUGGCCCAGACGCAUAUUGGGCUUUGUAUGCGUAUUUGUGCUUUCUAAUUCCACCACUAACCUAGCCAGCUCAGCAUGCCCACAAAGGUGACUUUGCAAAAGCAUAUUAUCCUGUGCCAACUGAGAUAUUAAAGUUGCUUCCUCCUUUCCCUCAAUUUCCUCUUCAAUGUAAACCUUGUUUACUUUAUUCUGCCCCUUAUUCCCAUUCGUAACAGAUACCCGAGAUAGGGAAACGUUUGUCGUAUUGUCAUUGGGGUCUUUGCCCUCCUCCUCCUUCUCCUCCGUCUCCUCCGGUUGCCGAACCCUCCGUCCACUCAAGCCCUCCUCCUCACCGUCAAAACCCGGGGUAUCCGACUCCUCUACAUAAGUCUCUGAGGAUGAGACGCUAUCCGUGGUCUCCAGAUAAUGUCGAUGACACAUACACUGCCCUUCGAGUCUAAUGGGUUGUUCUUCUUCGACAUAAACGGACACCUCCAGGCCAUUAAUCAGCAUAUUCUUAACCAUUCUGGCAUUAUGGUUUUUGCGUAGGCGAACUUUGAGUCUUACAUACUCCAAGUUUUCCCACUUGACCGUUGCUUCAUCAAUAGACACUAGCGACGCUUCCUCUCCAACUAUUUUUGAGAAGCAAUCCUUGGUCCACAACUGUAGAGGCAGACCAUAACAGCGUACCCAUACUACUCUGUGCUCUGCAGCAUACUCCUCCGUCCAUGGCUCAAUAUUUUGAAACACACUCCCAAACCACACCUUAUUGAGGUCUAUGACCUCCUUCAUAUUCACCCCUUCUCGUGGAGUCAGGAGAGCAAGAUUAUCUCCCAGGGAUCUAACACGAACUAAGCUCAUACCCCCUUUAAUAAAUUCGUCGUCUAGUUCGUCAGAGCUUAUUUCUUCCCUUAACUGCCCUACCAUACUGUACGCCAUCCAUGGUAAGACUUUCUUCUCAGCGGUAAAGGUUGACCCCUCCCAUCUUCUUUGGUCAUUACCUUUGGUAGCAUCUGCAUAUGACUUGCUCCCUGCCUUCACUCUCCAUACCUCUGUUUUCCUCUUCUGACCGCUGUUUGACAAUGGCUCCUCCUGCAUUUUCCUGUACCUCAUUCCCUGCUCUUUAUGGUACUCAUUGGUUUCACUCCCCUGACCUUUAGCUUCCAGUUCGCUUCUCCUAUAUUUCGGAACGUUUACAUGUAGUUUUUUGUUGCCUAUGUAAAUCUGGUCCAGGUCCUUCUCCAGCCUCCCCACAUUCCUGACUUCAAAGAAACGGACGAACCCGAACCUUCUUCCCCAUUUGUUAAGCCUUCUUGAAAUAAACACUUCUUUAACCCUAGCCCACCUUCUAAAAAUCUUGAUCAUGUCCAGCUCCCCAUACCCAUAUGGGAAAUUUGCAAAGAAAAACGUCGUGAAACCAUUUGAGUGUCCGUAGGCGUGUUGAUUACUACCAGAUCCUCUGCGUUCUCCUUGCCUCACCAUCUAAGCAAAUUAAGUGUUAUUAGAAGUUUAUCAAUCUAUUGAAUACUAAAUAAUUUUUUUAAACAUAUAUAAGGAACUAUUUCUAAUAUUACUUACCCAUUAUAAAAUAGAUUUUCAAUUAGAAAUAAGGACUUUUUGUGUGUAAGUGAAGAAAUAAAACGAAAUCUACUAAAAUAAUUUAAGAAUUCAUAUUUUUUUCAUCAUUAGAGAUUAAUGACUAUUUUAAUCUUAUAUAAAAAAAAAUCCAAAGUAAGUCCUUGGACGCGCUUUAAUGCCCGAAACCACAUUUUUUACUAUCAAAUUUCUUGCAACUUAAUUGUACUAGGAACAAAGUUAUGUUGAAACUUAUGGGCCUAGCCACCUAGGACCUAAUUUUUUUUUUCGUGUUCUUAUUUUAAUUUUAAAAUUUUAAACAUAUACGAUAAAUUUAUCCGAGGGUAAUUGUUCUAUUUAGUAUGGUUCACUUAUUUAUGUAAUUUUUUUACCAAAUAUUUUAUUUUAUUGUUUUUGAUGUGAAAAUAAUGAUUUUUUUUCAUUCGAUACAAAUAUUUAUUUUCUUUUAAGACAUUUCUUCCAAAAGAGAUCAUUGCAAUGUUUAAAAACCAAAAUAUACGAGUCUCAUCUAUUUUUAUCUGUAAUAGUCUCUUCUUCUUUUUUUCAUUUUUCACGGUUAUAUAUUUAUUUUUUGUCUUCCAUGUGUCAUUCUUGGAAGUAAUUUCGUUCUAUUAAGUGGGCCUGGUCUAAACUCGAAUCACUGUCUCAAACAGCUUUUAUUUGGAUCAAUCAAACUAUGAACAAGUGGUGGUCCCCAAUUAAGAAAAUGAGAAUAAUUUGCAGAGAGGUCUUGAAAGAGAGUUGCAAUUUCAUAGAAAUUUCUCUCCUCCACGUUCACUGCUCUAUGGCCAAUCAACUUUAUGCAGAAGAAUCGAAAUUGAAAUUGUUUUUGUAUACCAUUCAUCAUUCGGGGGAGGCGAUGACACAUUGUUUAUAUAUAUUUAUCUUUGUAUACACACAAACACAAGACUAUUACUGAGAAGAAAUUGGAAAGCUAAGAUAAAAGAGAAAUGGCAGAUCUAUUUGUGAAGCAGGCAAAAGAGUAUGCAGAUGCAAGACCAAGUUAUCCUCCACAGCUCUUCCAAUUCAUUGCUUCAAAGACUCCCUCUCACAGCCUUGCUUGGGAUGUUGGCACUGGAAGUGGCCAGGCUGCCAAAUCUGUAUCUUCACUUUCUUCUCCUUAAUUUUCUUCACUUUCCCUCUCUGUAAAUUCUUCACUUUCCACUUCCAUCCACAUUUCUUUCUCAAUUUCCACAAACACAUGUGUCGAAAGUAAAUUUUAUGUUUCAUUUCAGUUAAGUGUGAUAUACGAGAAGGUGAUAGCGACGGAUGCUAGUGCCAAGCAACUUGAAUUUGCAGUGAAGAUUUGUAACGUGAGAUACCAACACACUCCUCCAAUCAUGUCAAUGGCUGAACUUGAAGAAAUGGUGGCAUCUGAGGGAAGCGUAGACCUUGUGACCAUAGCCCAAUCCCUGCACUGGUUUGACAUGCCAACCUUCUACCAACAAGUGAAAUGGAUCCUGAAGAAGCCUCAUGGAGUGAUUGCUGCAUGGUGCUACUAUUUGCCAAGAGUUUGUGAUGAAGUAGACACAGUCCUUGAU
rnacentral:lncRNA from 1 species